UGCUGUUUCGCUGACGAGUGGCGGACGGGUGAGUAAUGUCUGGGAAACUGCCUGAUGGAGGGGGAUAACUACUGGAAACGGUAGCUAAUACCGCAUAAUGUCGCAAGACCAAAGAGGGGGACCUUCGGGCCUCUUGCCAUCGGAUGUGCCCAGAUGGGAUUAGCUAGUAGGUGGGGUAACGGCUCACCUAGGCGACGAUCCCUAGCUGGUCUGAGAGGAUGACCAGCCACACUGGAACUGAGACACGGUCCAGACUCCUACGGGAGGCAGCAGUGGGGAAUAUUGCACAAUGGGCGCAAGCCUGAUGCAGCCAUGCCGCGUGUAUGAAGAAGGCCUUCGGGUUGUAAAGUACUUUCAGCGGGGAGGAAGGGAGUAAAGUUAAUACCUUUGCUCAUUGACGUUACCCGCAGAAGAAGCACCGGCUAACUCCGUGCCAGCAGCCGCGGUAAUACGGAGGGUGCAAGCGUUAAUCGGAAUUACUGGGCGUAAAGCGCACGCAGGCGGUUUGUUAAGUCAGAUGUGAAAUCCCCGGGCUCAACCUGGGAACUGCAUCUGAUACUGGCAAGCUUGAGUCUCGUAGAGGGGGGUAGAAUUCCAGGUGUAGCGGUGAAAUGCGUAGAGAUCUGGAGGAAUACCGGUGGCGAAGGCGGCCCCCUGGACGAAGACUGACGCUCAGGU
rnacentral:rRNA from 1 species